ensembl:lncRNA
AGACGAUAGGAUUUGUUCAGGAUAGACAAACAUUUCGCUGGCUACACGAUUCUAAUAUCCACCAGUAAUGUUUUACUUUACACUUACUGUGAAAUAGCUACUGAAGGUUGUAGCCAGGAAAGUCUUUGUCUGUCCUGAACAUAUCCUAAGGCAUAAUGGGUUUUGACUGUAACAGGAGUCAAACGUGGGAUCUGUUCAAUUCAUUCACAUUUAUCUAUAAAGCUCUUUUUAAAUCAGCAGAUAUCAGAAAGUGCUUUUUCAAAACAACUGGUGUUAAACCCAGAGGAGCAAACAACAUUAGUGUUGAAUUUCAGUGGGUAGGAAAAACUCCCUAUGACUGCAAACAUUUAGGAAGAAACCUAGAGAGGACCCAGGGUCAGAGUGGUGACCAGUCUGUGCCAGGUGAACAUAUUAAGAUUGCAAUUGUAAUAAUUAAUAAAUGCAUGUGGGCUGAGUCCAGAGUCUAUUUAAACUUAGUCCAGGUCAGAAGCAUGACCAGAUGGACUAGGACAGGGACAACACGGGGGAAGGGAGGUAUCAGCACAGUGGCAGCUGAAAUCGUCAGGAAUCAUCUUGAUCAGCAACACAACCAGGAGGACUCUGGACAGGGACAGGAACGAGUCCCCCAAGCCAGGUACUCCGCAUAUGUGGGCCAGGACUUCAAGCCCUCCUAAGUUCAAAACCAGAGGAGACUGGGAAAAUUCAGAAAAUGCAUUCCUCAUAUCAACAAGGAUUUAUAGUGGAGGAGGAGUACUUAUUGGAAAAGGAGAACUGACCCUACUCCCCCAGCACAAUAAUAUAGCAGCGUAAGACCUUGGGGCUGAGACACGGGGUCCGGUGACACUGUGGCCCUAUCCUGGGGAGGCCCUGGACAGGGCCCAAAAGGCAGGAAAUCAAUCCACCCACAUUGCCAAGCAUCAACCAAAGGGACACCCACCAACCGCAACCACCCUGAAUGAGGGCUGAGUAUCUACUUGUUCUAGUUAAGAUUCUAGCAGCCGUGUGCAGCACUAAUUGAAGUUGAUUUAUUGAUCGGUCAAGGUAACCGGAAAGUAGAGCAUUGCAGUAAUCUAAUCUAGAAGUAACAAAAGCAUGGAUUUGUUUUUCUGCAUCCAUUUUGAUAGAAAGUUUCUGAUAUCUGCAAUUUCGAAGAUGAAAAUAAGCAACUCGAGACAUAUUUUAUAUGUUCAACAUAGAAUAGGUCAGGGUCAAGGGAAACGCCAAGGUUUCUUACAGUUUUUUGCGAUACGACCAUGCAGCUGUCGAGGUUCACAGUGAGAUUUGCUAACAAAGCGCUUUGUUUCUUGGGUCCUAAAACAAGCAUUUCUUGUUUAAAUGCAUCCACUUCCUAAUAUCUGAAACGCAUGCUUCCAAAGUAGCUAAUUUUGGGGCUUCUCCAUGCUUCAUUGAAAUAUAUAACUGUGUAAAAAGCAUAACAGUGAAAGUUGACAUUACAAUUCUGGAUUACAUCGCCCAGAGGCAGCAUAUACACUCACCUAAAAGAUUAUUAGGAACACCAUAAUAAUACUGUGUUUGACCCCCUUUCACCUUCAGAACUGCCUUAAUUCUACGUGGCAUUGAUUCAACAAGGUGCUGAAAGCAUUCUUUAGAAAUGUUGGCCCAUAUUGAUAGGAUAGCAUCUUGCAGUUGAAUGCAGAUUUGUGGGAUGCACAUCCAGGGCACGAAGCUCUCGUUCCACCACAUCCCAAAGAUGCUCUAUUGGGUGGAGAUCUGGUGACUGUGGGGGCCAUUUCAGUACAGUGAACUCAUUGUCAUGUUCAAGAUGAUUCGAGCUUUGUGACAUGGUGCAUUAUCCUGCUGGAAGUAGCCAUCAGAGGAUGGGUACAUGGUGGUCAUAAAGGGAUGGACAUGGUCAGAAACAAUGCUCAGGUAUGCUGUGGCAUUUAAAAGAUGCCCAAUUGGCACUAAGGGGCCUAAAGUGUGCCAAGAAAACAUCCCCCACAUCAUUACACCACCACCACCAGCCUGCACAGUGGUAACAAGGCAUGACGGAUCCAUGUUCUCAUUCUGUUUAUGCCAAAUUCUGACUCUACCAUCUGAAUGUCUCAACAGAAAUCGAGACUCAUCAGACCAGGCAACAUUCUUCCAGUCUUCAACUGUCCAAUUUUGGUGAGCUUGUGCAAAUUGUAGCCUCUUUUUCCUAUUUGUAGUGGAGAUGAGUGGUACCCGGUGGGGUCUUCUGCUGUUGUAGCCCAUGGUUAUUUCAGUCAAAGUUGCUCUUCUAUCAGCUUGAGUCGGCCCAUUCUCCUCUGACCUCUAGCAUCAACAAGGCAUUUUCGCCCACAGGACUGCCGCAUACUGGAUGUUUUUCCCUUUUCACACCAUUCGUUGUUAACCCUAGAAAUGGUUGUGCGUGAAAAUCCCAGUAACUGAGCAGAUUGUGAAAUACUCAGACCGGCCCGUCUGGCACCAACAACCAUGCCACGCUCAAAAUUGCUUAAAUCACCUUUCUUUCCCAUUCUGACAUUCAGUUUGGAGUUCAGGAGACUGUCUUGACCAGGACCACACCCCUAAAUGCAUUGAAGCAACUGCCAUGUGAUUGGUUGAUUAGAUAAUUGCAUUAAUGAGAAAUUAAACAGGUGUUCCUAAUAAUCCUUUAGGUGAGUGCAUAUGGCUGUGCUUUGUGUCUAU